rnacentral:rRNA from 1 species
CAAGGAUUCCCGUAGUAACGGCGAGUGAAGUGGGAAAAGCUCAAAUUUGAAAUCUGAUGGGCCUAUUUUGGCUUGUCCGAGUUGUAAUCUAGAGAAGCGUCUUUCCGUUGCUGGACCGUGUACAAGUCUCUUGGAAUAGAGCGUCGUAGAGGGUGAGAAUCCCGUCUUUGACACGGACUGCCAGUACAUCUGUGAUGCGCUCUCGAAGAGUCGAGUUGUUUGGGAAUGCAGCUCAAAAUGGGUGGUAAAUUCCAUCUAAAGCUAAAUAUUGGCGAGAGACCGAUAGCGAACAAGUACCGUGAGGGAAAGAUGAAAAGAACUUUGGAAAGAGAGUUAAACAGUACGUGAAAUUGUUGAAAGGGAAACGCUUGGAGUCAGUCACGUCGGGCAGGGAUCAACCUUGCGACUUGUUGCUUGGUGUACUCUCUGUUUAUACCGACGGGUCAGCAUCAAUUUUGACUGUCGGACAAAGUCCAUCGGAAUGUGACAUUUCCUUGUGAGAUGUGUUAUAGCCUUUGGUCGUAUACGAUGGUUGGGAUUGAGGUACUCGGCACGCCUGUAAUGGGUUGUUGCUCAAGGAUGCUGGCAUAAU